rnacentral:rRNA from 1 species
AAAGGCGCGCGAUACAGGGUGACAGCCCCGUACACAAAAGCGCAUGUGCUGUGAGCUCGAUGAGUAGGGCGGGACACGUGGUAUCCUGUCUGAAUAUGGGGGGACCAUCCUCCAAGGCUAAAUACUCCUGACUGACCGAUAGUGAACCAGUACCGUGAGGGAAAGGCGAAAAGAACCCCGGCGAGGGGAGUGAAAAAGAACCUGAAACCGUGUACGUACAAGCAGUGGGAGCACCCUUUGGGGUGUGACUGCGUACCUUUUGUAUAAUGGGUCAGCGACUUAUAUUCUGUAGCAAGGUUAACCGAAUAGGGGAGC